UGGGGAAUUUUGCGCAAUGGGCGAAAGCCUGACGCAGCAACGCCGCGUGCGGGACGAAGGCCUUCGGGUUGUAAACCGCUUUCAGCAGGGAUGAAACUGACAGUACCUGCAGAAGAAGCCCCGGCUAACUACGUGCCAGCAGCCGCGGUAAUACGUAGGGGGCAAGCGUUAUCCGGAUUUAUUGGGCGUAAAGCGCGCGUAGGCGGCUUGUUAAGCGAGAUGUGAAAACCGGGGGCUUAACCCGCGGCCUGCAUCUCGAACUGGCAGGCUUGAGUCUGGUAGAGGAAAGUGGAAUUCCCAGUGUAGCGGUGAAAUGCGCAGAUAUUGGGAGGAACACCAGUGGCGAAGGCGGCUUUCUGGGCCACGACUGACGCUGAGGCGCGAAAGCUAGGGGAGCGAACA
rnacentral:rRNA from 1 species